AUGCUCUCUUCACUUCAGCAGCACAUACACUAAAAUUGGAAUGAUACAGUAAUUAGCAUGGCCCCUGCGCAAGGAUGACAUGCAUAUUCGUUAGGCAUUCCAUAUUUUA
ensembl:snRNA U6 U6 spliceosomal RNA